GCGUUUAUUUACACAACAAAAAGAUACUCGACUUCUAGCAGAGUGACCUUGGCGAAGGUACAACUAUUGAAUGUCGAGAUACCUACCAAGGGGAUGAAUCUACGUGGACCCUCGACCUAGUUUCCAACUGCCUCUUGAUCUGAAAACAUGAAGUUGACAAUAGUGAGUAUAAACCCAGUGAGUGAACAUAGGAAGGGAGCAAGCAUCAAUACGGGAAGUUUUAGAAAUCAUGAUGCACUUAUAUUGCAAUUUAGCUUAAUUUCUUGUCACAACGAAAAUCCAUUUUUUGCUGCAGUGAAAAUCAAUUAGAAAGCAUUUCUCAAGUUUUAACAUUCAAUAAUCAAUGCAACCAUAAUAUAAUUUCCAUAACCUCUAUAUAUAUAUAUAUAAUAUAUAUAAACAUACAUAUGACCACCGGCCUCACCCCAACUCUCCCUCAGCUGGGUCAUCAUCAGCUCAUGUGCACUCCAACACCGCACAUAGCUAGGUCUUCAUCAGCUCAUGUUCACUCUUACACCGCACAUGGCUGGGUCAUCAUUAGCUCAUGUGCACUCCAACACCGCACAUCGCUGGGUAAUCAUCAGCUCAUGUGCACUCCUACAGCUCAUGUGCACUCCUACACUGCACAUGGCUGGGUCAUCAUUAGCUCAUGUGCACUCUUACAUCGCACAUAGCUGGGUCAUCAUCAGCUCAUGUGCACUCUUACACCGCACAUAGUUGGGUCAUAAUUAUCACACAAUAGUAUCAUUCAAUGCAUAACAUACAUAUCAACAAAAUGUGGGAACAAAUGAAUUCAUCACAUUCAUAUUUCACAACAUAAAAACGUUUCAUCAAAGGCUUGUUCCCAUGCAACUUUUAAAGAAAAACCAACAAUUAUUUCAAGUCGCUCAAUCAAGCAUAUAAAUCACUUAUUCCAAAACAUUUUAAUGCAAGUUCACUCACCGAUCCUUGUUGAUUCUUAAAUCGGCUCCAACUCCCACUAAUGGUCCGAAUGGAGAUGUGGGGUCUCGUUGGAACCUUGGUAGCUUUGUAAUUGAAUUCCUUUUCAAAAGCAUUCAAACUAUUGUGAAAAAUCUUUCUCUCUCCCUAGAGCAUCCAGCUAGUGAGAGAAAGUAUUAAGGAAAGGCUUUUGAGGGUUUUAAGGUGAAAAAGUAAAAGAGCACAAAAGACUCUGUAAAAAGGUGCACAAAAGCAUGAAAAUUGGGGUUAACUUGAGAAAAUUUAUGGAGGUUUCAAAGCAAACUCCCAUGGAAAGUGAGAAAAUGUGAGAAGGGAAGAAGAAGUUGCUAGAAACUUAGAUAUUUAUGCCUAAUAUUUAUCCAAUUUCUCACAAAAUCACCAAAAGGCCCUUAACAUGGUCUCUUUGUCUUUCCCUUACCUUAUACAAUCUUUUUACUUCUUUGACAUUGAGACAAAGUCCAUAAUAGUCUAGAAAUACUCGGGUUCACGAAAACUUAAAAAUUUUGACUCGAGAUGCAAAAUGAUCGUUUUGCCCCUAUGGUGAAAAUUAUCAAUAUUUCUAUCUUCUUUAUUUAUUUUACCAUCAUUCAUUUAUUCCUUAGGUCUAUUUAGACUUUAAUAACAUUUGAGAGCUACUUCCAGGAGCUCACCAUGAGAAAUGACGAAAUUGCCCUUAGUCCGUGUUUUCGCGUCAACUCCUAGUUACAUGUCUAUGGAGGUCAAGGUUUCACAGGUUCACUUCUGAAUCACCUUUUUAACUCGAUAAUUAACCUCAAUUGGCAUCCAUAAGCUUUAUUAGCCACCAUAUCAAACUACAAGGUACUACAGUCUCCCCCAUUUAAAAUGAAUUCGUCCUCAAAUUCAAAUCAACAUAGGGUGAAUAGUCAAAGUUCUAAAAUUCUGCCACAUCACUUUUGUUGAGCAUUCUUAACAUAAGAUCUUGGUUUAUGCAUUAUAUCGACUUCCAAUCUUUAUAGAAAACUCAACAAUGUCAUAAUACAUUUAAUCAUUGAUACUACUCUUAUUGGAUCAAAACAAUAUCAUUCUUCAUCUUAUGAAGAGAAUUCAAAUAUGCUAUUAAUUCUGGUCAUACCUCAAUCAAAUCAUCCUUAAAUCAUCAAUUAUGCAUGUUUACUUAACCAUCCACAACUCCUCUACCUUGAUCUUUUAUCAAACAUUCCCACAUUCAAGCAUUUCAUAAUACGUGAGGGUCAAAACACGCUUUAGUUAUUUUAGAUAUAUUUAACAUCAUGGAUGAUUCAAAUAUAAUAACCAUUAGUAACCAUAUUCCCAAAAACAAUUUCACGAACCGAAACUCCCAUCAAGCCCUUGACAACCUCCGCGAUGUCUCAAUCGACAUUCAUUACCUAGAAUGCCAACCGAAACCUCGCAAGGCUUUCGCAUCAGUUUUACUUAUCCCCCAUGAGCAACAGUUAUUAAAUACCAUGUUUUAAAGAAAUAUAGACCAAUUUCAAAUAAAAAAUAAUCAAAAAGUAAUUUCUACUACACAGGGGUAUUUUGGUCAUUUUACCCAAAAUUUUUGAACCUUGGUAAAAAUAUGAUAUACGAGUAAUAAGCAUCUAUUUCAUGUCUAAAAAUAAGUUUCGUUGUCUAAUUCAUCAAUUUAAAGUAAAAUUUUAGCUAUUCAAAUUAAAUAAAAAUAUUAAAUAAAAUAUUUCAUUUUCUUAUAAAACAAUAUUUAUAGAACUCUGCGUAAAUAAUUUUUGUAGCGUAAAAGCAAAAUAAAUUCAUACAUGCAGUGGCACACGCAACCAGGUAUACAAAAUAUUCUACAAUGACAUGUGGGCCCCAAAAUAACUGAAAACAUACAAGAUUGUAGACCUUCAAUUUCUAAGGAUGCAAAUCCAAAAGCAACCCUCGACAAAAUCGGCUGUCUACAGACUAUCUUGAGCUUGAAAUGGGUGAAAAGAAUGGGUGAGUUUUUAUAAACCCAGUGAGUAAGCAAAUUUCAUCUAAAACAUUUAAAACCAAGUAAAUGGAGAUAAUUUAAAAUAUCUCAUCAUAAUAUGAUUGAUAACAUCAAAUCUCAUUUCAUUUCAUAUAAAUCAAUUUCAUUUCAUAUAAAUCAACAAGGCUUAUGAUUCUCUUAAAACUUAGCUUGUGGCAAAAACUUGCACUCAAUGACACCUUGCGCCAAGGCAUCCAACCGAGUUCGCCAAAUUUGUUAAAAUAACAUGAGUAUAAAACUCAUUUUUUUUUACAUUUAAAAGCACAGCCAUUCCUUGGCGUUGGCUGAGUUUCACCCACACAUAGUGGUUCAGCGUGAGGUGAACUCUAACUUUACCUUAGGAGAUACCCUCCGCGCCUCUCGUACCAAGGUAAAAUAUAAUUGAAUUUACCAUGCCCCUCUAAUAGGCUGGUCCACGGAAACCCGCCCACUACAGUAAGCUAAUCAAAUAACCCACUAAUUCAAUAAAAUUUUCGACAGCAUGACAUGGCUAAUAUAAUAUUACCAGCCUGUCAAGGCAAAGCAAAAUAGUUCAUAUAUUUCAUACAAACACAAAUCCAGCCAUGCUUGCCAUCACAUUGUCAUAAGCCAUCAAUUCAAACGAUAUGUCAAAACAUAUAUAUAACACGAGUAUACAAUCUCCACUUACUCAAUUUCCAAAACCAGUAUUCAAUUUCAAAACAAGUUAUAAAUCUCAUUUCGUUUAAUCAACAUUUCAAUUAUAAAACAUAAUAGUUUGCAAUUUAAAUUCAUUUUUCCUUAAAACAUAAAAACGAGUAUAAACAACUUUAGAUAGUUAAGAUGAAAGUCUGAUUACUCACAAUAGCAAGAGUUUGGAGUACUUCUAUUCUUGGUCCUCGGGCACAAUAUCUUUACCCUUAUCAAAGGGCUCACCACCUAUACAUAAUACACAAUAUGUAAUUCAAUAUAUUUGUGCCAAACUGUUAUAAAACUAUUUCAGGCUCUAUAUGAAUGCAUGACAUUGAAUGAGAAUUGUCCGAAUAAUCACUUAAAGACGAUGUUCUACGUAGGUUCAAUUGUGAUCAGAAUGAAUUUGAAUUCGACCUAAUUCGAACUAUACACCAUUGAUUUAACCAAAACAUCCGAUUCAACUCCAAAUAUAUUCAUUACACUCCCAAUAAUCUAAUACACCAAAGCAUUACAAUGAACUUCAUUUUUUACUAACUUCACCAUUUUUCGAAAUUCAUUCCGAUUUCAAACUAACAUACUAAUCAAUGUCUACAUAGUCUCGUAAAUCCAUAUAUAUAUCAUUAGGAAUCAAAUCCAAGUCCAUUUAUUAUGAUUUUCUCAUUUUCCAUCAAGCCAUUUUCUAAAGGAACUAUAUUUUUUAGUAACCGGUUUCGAUAUCCAUCCACAUAAUUCAUCAAUUCCUAGUUAAAUAACAUGAAAUACAACCAAAUCCAUCAUCAACAUGCCCUAUAGAAAAUUCGGCUAAAUGAGGGUGGUUGAAGAACAUGUGAUUUUCUUUCUUGUUUUUCCUUCCAAACAUCACAAAAUGACUAAAAACACUAGGAUAUUAUGAAAUCUAGCAAAAUUCAUCACCAAAACUUCUCUCUCUAGAUUUGGCUAACAAAGGUUCCCUCUUGAAAACUUGAAUUUCAGCCAUGGAGAAUGAAAAAGAAUUCAUGGGAAAGGUAGAUCGCAAGCUAAAAUUAAAAAAUCUUACCUUUACUUACUUGAUUCCUUGAAAUCCAACAAUUUCUCUUGAAUUUUUCCUUCCUAAGGUUUGUUCUUCUCUUUUUCUCUUUGUUCCCUUGCUUGGCAGGCCAUAAG
rnacentral:lncRNA from 1 species